GGCUUCGCCUGUUUAACAAAAACAUAGUUUAAAGAAAAAGAUUUUAGAUAAGNUCUGCUCAAUGAAAAUCUUAAAUAGCUGCAGUAAAUUGACUGUACUAAGGUAGCAUAAUAACUUGCUUUAUAAUUAAAAGCUUGAAUGAAAGAAAACAUGUGAAACAAACUUUUUAACAUAAAAUAGUAAAAAUUAAUAUUUAAGUGAAAAAUCUUAGAUAGUAUCAAAAGACAAGAAGACCCUUUAGAAUUUUACAACCUUAAUCAACUGAAAUGAUUUUGGUUGUUAGAUUGGGGAGAUCUUUAAAUAAUUAUAUCUUUAAAUAAACCAAAAUGAUAAAAAUCAACUUAAAUUAUCCAAACAUGAAAUAAAAUAAAUUACCUAAGGGAUAACAGCGUAAAAUUUUUGAGAAGACCCUAUUAACAAAAUAAAUUACGACCUCGAUGUUGGAUUAAGGAUAACUUAUAAAGAAAAAUUUAUAAGAAAUGGUCUGUUCGCC
rnacentral:rRNA from 1 species